GGGGAUUAGCUCAGCUGGGAGAGCGCCUGCCUUGCACGCAGGAGGUCAGCGGUUCGAUCCCGCUCAGCUCC
rnacentral:tRNA from 1 species